AACCUUUAGAUAAACAAAUAUUAAAGGCAACGCCUGCCCAGUGAACAAUUAAACGGCCGCGGUACCCUAACCGUGCAAAGGUAGCGUAAUCAUUUGUCUACUAAUUAUAGACCAGUAUGAAAGGCAAAAUGAGGGUCUAACUGUCUCUUAUAAUAAAUCUAUGAAACUGAUCUCCUAGUAAAAAAGCUAGAAUAUUCCCAUAAGACCAGAAGACCCUGUGAAGCUUAAACUAAACUAUUAACCCAAAUAAUAAUUACUUUCGGUUGGGGCGACCUUGGAAAAAAAAAGAACUUCCAAACACUAUGAAUUAUACCUCAUACACACAAGGCCAACAAGCCAAUAAAAGACCCAGCACAGCUGAAAACUGAACCAAGUUACUCCAGGGAUAACAGCGCAAUCUUCUUCAAGAGCCCAUAUCAAAAAGAAGGUUUACGACCUCGAUGUUGGAUCAGGACAUCCUAAUGGUGCAGCCGCUAUUAAGGGUUCGUUUGUUCAACGAUUAAAGUCCU
rnacentral:rRNA from 1 species